GCAAGAACACAGUUUACAGAUAAUAUAAACAGUGUUAUUCCAUCCACACACUCUUUUUCAUUGUGCUCCCUAUUCUCUGAAUGCCAGUGUCAAAUUUCAAGGGAUUUAAGACAAGGAGAAUUAGAAUAGGCAACUAUCUUAAUUCUCCAUGUUUGCUUUCUCCCCCUCACUGUCUCUUUCUGCCUGUCAGCCUUACUACCACAGUGAAGUACAUACAGUAAUCUUUGCUAGUAAAAAGACUGGACUAUCUUAUUAGUCUUAGGACUCUGAUCCCCCCAAUUUUAAUAUAUAUGUUUCUCUUUCUUCAUUUUAAAAUGUCAGUCAAUUCAAUUAUUAGUAUUAGUCAAUACAGUUAAUAACAGAAUGAGACCUUUAUUUCAUUUUUCUCAUGUUUUUAUAAAAAUUAAGGAAUACCACUUUAGAAUGGUAGUCCUUUUCAAAAUAUUUCUAGUGUCUUCAUUUAUUCUUGUGAAACAUAAAAUUUUAGUCCACAGUGUAUUCUCGAUUUGAGGACUUUGGUUCUCAUUUAGAAUUGCUAAAGGACAUAAGGAAAAUCGCAGCAGCUUACUUUUUUCUCAGCAAAUAUUUGGGCACCUUCACGAGUGUUAGAUACCGUGCUAGGUCCUGAGGAUACAGAUGAAUGAGACAAGGCCCUCGCUGCAAAGAGUAUUUCAGUGAGAAGAUGGGAGAAACAAAUACAGAUGCUCCUCGACUUGGGACAGGGUUACAUUAACCCAUCACUUACACCAUUGGAUAUUGAGUUUAUGAAGUGUUUGCAUGAAAAAGUGAAUAUCAUCCCACUUAUUGCCAAAGCAGACACACUCACACCAGAGGAAUGCCAACAGUUUAAAAAACAGAAAGGCUGAACAUUUUAAAAACAAAGUUUUCUUUUCCCCUUUUUGUAAACACCUGUUCAAAUCCUUUGUCUUUUUGACCAGUAGUACU